UAGUGGCGAACGGGUGAGUAACACGUGAGUAACCUGCCCUUGACUCUGGGAUAAGCCCGGGAAACUGGGUCUAAUACCGGAUAGGAGCGCCUGUCGCAUGACGGGUGCUGGAAAGAUCUUUCGGUCAUGGAUGGACUCGCGGCCUAUCAGCUUGUUGGUGAGGUAACGGCUCACCAAGGCGACGACGGGUAGCCGGCCUGAGAGGGUGACCGGCCACACUGGGACUGAGACACGGCCCAGACUCCUACGGGAGGCAGCAGUGGGGAAUAUUGCACAAUGGGCGAAAGCCUGAUGCAGCGACGCCGCGUGAGGGAUGACGGCCUUCGGGUUGUAAACCUCUUUCAGCAGGGAAGAAGCGAAAGUGACGGUACCUGCAGAAGAAGCACCGGCUAACUACGUGCCAGCAGCCGCGGUAAUACGUAGGGUGCGAGCGUUAUCCGGAAUUAUUGGGCGUAAAGAGCUCGUAGGCGGUUUGUCACGUCUGUCGUGAAAGUCCGGGGCUUAACCCCGGAUCUGCGGUGGGUACGGGCAGACUAGAGUGCAGUAGGGGAGACUGGAAUUCCUGGUGUAGCGGUGGAAUGCGCAGAUAUCAGGAGGAACACCGAUGGCGAAGGCAGGUCUCUGGGCUGUAACUGACGCUGAGGAGCGAAAGCAUGGGGAGCGAACAGGA
rnacentral:rRNA from 2 species